AGGAUGGAGGUGCAGUGACAGAGCUGUGUGUGGGGUCAGUACAGGAAUAGCAGAGAGAGCUGCAGGGCAGGAUGGAGGUGCAGUGACAGAGCUGUGUGUGGGGUCAGUACAGGAAUAGCAGAGAGAGCUGCAGGGCAGGAUGGAGGUGUAGUGACAGAGCUGUGUGUGGGGUCAGUACAGGAAUAGCAGAGAGAGCUGCAGGGCAGGAUGGAGGUGUAGUGACAGAGCUGUGUGUGGGGUCAGUACAGGAAUAGCAGAGAGAGCUGCAGGGCAGGAUGGAGGUGUAGUGACAGAGCUGUGUGUGGGUCAGUACAGGAAUAGCAGAGAGAGCUGCAGGGCAGGAUGGAGGUGUAGUGACAGAGCUGUGUGUGGGGUCAGUACAGGAAUAGCAGAGAGAGCUGCAGGGCAGGAUGGAGGUGUAGUGACAGAGCUGUGUGUGGGGUCAGUACAGGAAUAGCAGAGAGAGCUGCAGGGUAGGAUGGAGGUGUAGUGACAGAGCUGUGUGUGGGGUCAGUACAGGAAUAGCAGAGAGAGCUGCAGGGCAGGAUGGCGGUGUAGUGAGCAGAGCUGUGUGUGGGGUCAGUACAGGAAUAGCAGAGAGCUGCAGGGCAGGAUGGAGGUGUAGUGACAGCUGUGUGUGGGGUCAGUACAGGAAUAGCAGAGAGAGCUGCAGGGCAGGAUGGAGGUGCAGUGACAAAGCUGUGUGUGGGGUCAGUACAGGAAUAGCAGAGAGAGCUGCAGGGCAGGAUGGAGGUGCAGUGACAGAGCUGUGUGUGGGGUCAGUACAGGAAUAGCAGAGAGAGCUGCAGGGCAGGAUGGAGGUGUAGUGACAGAGCUGUGUGUGGGGUCAGUACAGGAAUAGCAGAGUGAGCUGCAGGGCAGGAUGGAGGUGCAGUGACAGAGCUGUGUGUGGGGUCAGUACAGGAAUAGCAGAGAGAGCUGCAGGGCAGGAUGGAGGUGCAGUGACAGAGCUGUGUGUGGGGUCAGUACAGGAAUAGCAGAGAGAGCUGCAGGGCAGGAUGGAGGUGCAGUGACAGAGCUGUGUGUGGGGUCAGUACAGGAACAGCAGAGAGAGCUGCAGGG